AAUGAGUUCCCGGCAGGAGCUCCCCGAGUCCCCCGCGGGGACGGGGACGAAGGCGGAGGCUGCACGGGCCGGGGCAAGGCGCGUGCCCGCCCCCCCCCCCCGCUCCCCGCCCCCCGCCCCCCGCCCCUACCCGGGCCCGCGCGGCGGCGGCGGCGGAGGGGCGCACGGGGCGCACGCGGAGGGCGAGGCGGGGGACCAGGCGGUGGCGACGGCGGCGGCGGCGGGAGGAGCGCCCCUCCCCUCCCCUCCCCUCCCGUCCCCUCCCCUGCGGCGGCCCCGCUACGUGUCGCUCCUCCUUGCGCCGCCCGCCGCCGCCCGCGCCCUCGGGCCGCCCCCGCCGCCCCCCGCCGAGCCCGCGGCCGCGCCCUCGGGCCGGUACUUGAGCCAGCAGAUGACCCAGGUGACGACGACCGAGAAGAGCGCCAGGAUGCUGGCCACCGACAGGCAGAUGGGCCCCACGGGCGACGGCGACGGCGACGGCGACCCGGGCCCCGGGGCAGCUCCAGGGGGCGCCGCGCCUCCGGGAGGGCCGCCCCCGCCGCCCCCGCCCCCGUAGUGGUUGACGAAGAUGAGGCCGGUGAAGAGCAGCACCACCAUGGAGAGGAAGGAGAAGACGACGCACACGCAGCCGGCGGUGAGCGCGGCGCGCUUGCAGUCCUGGCAGCUGUCGUAGGCGCCCGGGGCGCGCAGGCGGGCGCGGGGCGGGCGGGCGGCGUCCUCCGCGGGCGGGGCGGGGGCGGGGGCGGGGGCCGGGGCCGAGGCCGGGGCGGCGGGCGGGAGGCGGUCCUGGGGCAGCGGGUCGUGCGCGGCGCGCAGGGCCAGCGGGAAGGCGUCGGCGAGCUUGGUGUUGACGGGCAGGCCGUGCACGCGGCUGUCGGGCAGCGGGGUGCGGUGGCGGCACACGGGGCAGGCGAUGGCGCCGGGCGGGCCGAGCCAGGGCGGCGGGCGCGGGGGGCGCUCAGGCGCGGCGGCGGCGGCGGCGGCGGCGGCGGCGGCGGGGGGCGCGGGGGCCGCGGGGGGCGCGGGGGCGGCGCGGAGCUGCAGCUGGCGCAGGCACUCCUGGCAGAAGGUGUGCAGGCAGGCCAGCAGCUUGGGCGCGCGCCGGUCCGCGUCGAAGUAGUUGUAGCAGAUCUUGCACUCGUAGUCCUCGAGCGGCGGGAGGACCCCCGCGGCCGCGGCCUCCCCGGCGCCUGCCGCGCCCCCGCGCCUGCCGGUCGGGCUCCGGUGGCCGCCGCUGUCGCUCGCCGGCGCGGCCAUGGCCGGGCGCGCCCCUCAUCGGGGGCGGGGGGAGGCGCCCUCGUGCCCCGCGGCGGCCGCCUGGGCUGCGGGCGGCGGGAGGCGCCUCCGCGUCCCCCUCGGGCUGCUGUCGCCUGGCGGGGGAGGCGGCGCCGGCGGGGCCGGGCGGGGGCGCAGCGGCGACCGCCUCCCCCCGCCCCCCGGCGCCGCCCGGCCGCGCCUCUCGAGCCGCGCCGAGCCGCUGUCCUGGCCCCGCUGGAUGGCGCCUUCCGUGGCGCUUGGAAUUGGAAGUGGAGGGAGGCUGGGGGGGGGGGGGGUGCGGGGACGAAAUUUGGGGUGCGGCCGCUUAGAGAUGCGGCGCCGUGCACCCCCUCCCUUCCCCUCCCCGGCGAACGGGGGCGGGGCAGCCUGGCCCUGCGCGCCCCCGCCCCUGCGCCCCGCCGUGCUCCCGGGGCCCGGUCGCCCCGUGCUGACUCCCCUGGGCCUGGGGCCGAGCCCGGCCGAGCCCCCCUCCCCGCCCCCGCCCCCGCCCCCGCCCGCCGAGCUCACCGGUGA
rnacentral:lncRNA from 1 species